GGUUGGCUAUAACUAUCAUUUCCAAGGUUGUGCUUUUAGGAAAUGUUGGCUGUCCUGCGGAGAGAGAAUGGGGAGCCAGG
ensembl:miRNA MIR5739 microRNA 5739